rnacentral:pre_miRNA from 1 species
GCCCGCCGGGUCUAGUGGUCCUAAACAUUUCACAAUUGCGCUACAGAACUGUUGAACUGUUAAGAAC